rnacentral:rRNA from 1 species
GAUGAACGCUGGCGGCGUGCUUAACACAUGCAAGUCGAACGGUGAAGGCGGAGCUUGCUCUGCUGGAUCAGUGGCGAACGGGUGAGUAACACGUGAGCAAUCUGCCCCUGACUCUGGGAUAAGCGCUGGAAACGGCGUCUAAUACUGGAUACGAGCUGCGAAGGCAUCUUCAGCAGCUGGAAAGAACUUCGGUCAGGGAUGAGCUCGCGGCCUAUCAGCUUGUUGGUGAGGUAACGGCUCACCAAGGCGUCGACGGGUAGCCGGCCUGAGAGGGUGACCGGCACCACGGGGAAGGAGAACGGGCCAAGACUCAGGGGGGAGGCGGAAGGGGGAAAAAGGGAACAGGGGGGAAAAGCUGGAGGCGAAAGCGCGGGGGGGGGGAGGACGGCUUUGGGGUGGAAAACAUCUUUGGGAAGGGAAGAAGGAAAAGUGAGGGUACAUGAAGAAAAAGCGCCGGCUAACUAGGUG